UGGUUGCCUCUUGCACACCCCCAACCAGGGACCUGGCCAGCGACCCAGGCAUAUACCCUGACCAGGAAUCGAACUGGUGUCCUUUGGGUUUGGGGGACAAUGCCCAACCCUCUGAGACACACCUGUCAGGGCCCCACCUUAAAAUUCUUAAUCAUUUUGGGACAAGGGGCCCAGGUUUUCAUUUUGCUCUGAACCCUGCAAAUUAUGUAGCUGGUCUUCGGGGUAAUUAAGGGUUUGGGGGGACGGUAAGCAGGCAGGCCUUUCCUCAUGCCAUGUUCCUCCUCCAGGAAAACUCUUCCUUGGUGCAUUGCACCACUGUUGUACCCACAAAUAUGAGUGUCUGGUCCACAAUAAAACUGAAUGAACGCAGAUGUCUGCCCUAAGUUAUCUGAAUGAAUGAGUGAGGAAGGGAAGAAAUGAGGGCAUUAACAGAGUUACCAUAUAAUCCAGCAAUGCCACAUCUAGGUAGCUAACCCAAGAGAAAUGAAACGUGCACACAAAAACUCCUACGCAAUUAAUUGUCCAUAGCAUUAUUCACAGUGGCUUGAAAGUGGAAACGACCUAGAUGUCUACCAACCGAUGAUGGGUAAAUAUAUAAAAUAUCUAUGCAUACAUGGAAUAUUACUCAGCUGUACGAAGAAAUGAAGUCUCUGUAAGAUAUGUCAGAGAGAGACCCUUCUCUCUCUGUCUCUCACUCCCCGCCCCCGUUGUUUGAGGACACCAGAAGCUGGAGUCUGCAUGCCAAGGGGGCGGCUCCGACCAGACCCCUGUCAUAUCAUCAUCCUGAUCUUGGACUCCCAGGACCCAGAACUGUCUCCCUUGGAUGGACCUCCUCCCAGAACCCUUGUCUGUCUUUGCAGCUGGGCACAAGCUCCUAGAGGGAAGAACUUCGAUCACCCUGUAGCCCUGGGUCAGGCCCCAGGUCCGGCACUGAGUUACUCAUCACAGUAUUUGCAACAUCUGGAGUGUGCAUGUAGUGGUGGUGGGGGGUGGCGUUUAGAAAGAUAGAAAAUGACUGAGGUGGGGUUAGAUUUCAGAUCUCUCCAAACCUAAAUACCAUAGGCUUGAACCUCUGCUCUUUGAGCCAGAGGCCCUGGGUGUGACAGUGCAAGCGGCAUCCCUCUAAGACUCAGUUCCCCUGCUCUGUAAAAUGGGACCCUUGACACCUGCUGCCUCCCUCUCUGGAGGGGAUGAAGAGAUGACAUGGCGACAGUCACAAACUUGGUUUCUGGAGCUCUUCGCUUAGGGCAGGCCUUGUGCCAAGAUUCUCAUGAACAAAGCCCCCCACUUUACUCCAUUUCAUAGCUGGGGGACUAGAAGGUGCAAAGUCGCAGAGCUUUGAUUUCACCCCAGGUGGUUAGACCACAAAACCCAAGCCCUUUGUGACAUAACGAAUGAUGCUCUCUCCAGAUCACGUUAUUCUGGCUGUGGCUGUCAUGCAAGAGAAACGUAAACCUCUGCUUCAUCAUUUGGGAUCAGUGUCACUAGCAGUCAUUUUGAUGCUGAUGGGCAUAUUCCCCAGCAUUCUGAGUGCAGACAGCCAUGCUACUAUCCUGAAAAAGGCCACCUGGUCAGUCGAGAGCAAUGGCCUGAAUUUGCAUUAUGUACCACGUAAAAUAGCUGCCACUGCUGAGCUGUGACAGAUGGGGGAACAGUGAAUCUGAAUUUAAAAAGGACAAGGAUUGAAACCACAACCUUGCUGUAUCCUCUCUAACCGACUGAGCCACCCAACUGGGGCCUGGAAGCAGCUUUGUAGAGAGGCAACUCUGACGGACAGAACAGCUGGGAGAGGGCACCGGAGGGCUCUCCCUUCUCUAGGCUUGCCCGUGGGUGUGGGCGGUGGCGCCUCUGCUGAGGGAUGAGGGCGGUGCGGGGGCGGCAGCAGCAGAGGGUGAGAGAUGGAGAAGACCACCAUCCCCCGGGCACAGCGGAGCCUUCCAUUCAACUCUAGCCUGUGGAGUCCCAUCCUUCCCAGCUAUUCCAGGUAGCCCCAGUGGGGAGCUGGGUGCUGUGUGUGGGGGGCACUGGGGGCCACAGCCUGCCACCCCUUUCUCUUCCCAUGGGCUCUUUCUCCUCUCCGCCCAUCUCUGUUCAGCCAGGUCCUGGCAAUCACUCUUUGGGACCAAACUAAUGACAAUACCACUGAGCAGGAACGCCUGCACAGAAGUCCAUCCACAGUGCAUCCUGCACACACACUCGCAGCCGAGUCCCGUGAGGAAAUGUUACCCAGCCACGGCAGUGGAUGGACUGCAGCCACGCUCAGAGGACUGGCUGUCUCAGCAUGAUGAUGGCAGUGGGAUUAGCAGGACACAAGCAGCUGUCAGUGCCCGCCGUCCUGUAGACAGGCGGGAUGAAGGGUGCCUUUGCGGGGGUGAGCCUGGGAAGUGGCAACCUCCUUGGAGGAAGGGCAGGGGCUGGGAGGGCAAGAGUUAUGUUUACCCAUGUGCUCCUUUUAUUCAUUCAACCAUUAAUUUAUCUUUUUUGUGUACCUUCUCUAUGUUAUUACACUUCACAGUUAAAAUGUAAAGAAAGAGAAAGACACUAGUGGUCACUGGACUUUCUGGGGGAGUAGGCUACUAAGACCUAUAUUCAGACAGUAACCAGAGGGGAAGGGGAGGAAGAUAACGGGGGAAAGAAGG